GACGAACGCUGGCGGCGUGCUUAACACAUGCAAGUCGAACGGAAAGGCCCUUCUUUUGUGGGGUGCUCGAGUGGCGAACGGGUGAGUAACACGUGAGUAACCUGCCCUUGACUUCGGGAUAACUUCAGGAAACUGGGGCUAAUACCGGAUAGGACCUCCUGCUGCAUGGUGGUGGUUGGAAAGUUUGUGCGGUUGGGGAUGGACUCGCGGCUUAUCAGCUUGUUGGUGGGGUAGUGGCUUACCAAGGCUUUGACGGGUAGCCGGCCUGAGAGGGUGACCGGCCACAUUGGGACUGAGAUACGGCCCAGACUCCUACGGGAGGCAGCAGUGGGGAAUAUUGCACAAUGGGCGGAAGCCUGAUGCAGCAACGCCGCGUGCGGGAUGACGGCCUUCGGGUUGUAAACCGCUUUCGCCUGUGACGAAGCGUGAGUGACGGUAAUGGGUAAAGAAGCACCGGCUAACUACGUG
rnacentral:rRNA from 1 species